UGGGGAAUAUUGGACAAUGGGGGCAACCCUGAUCCAGCAAUGCCGCGUGUGUGAAGAAGGCCUUCGGGUUGUAAAGCACUUUCGGUGGGGACAAACAAGGUGGCGCUAACAUCGCCGCCUCUGAUGGUACCCAAAGAAGAAGCACCGGCUAACUCUGUGCCAGCAGCCGCGGUAAUACAGAGGGUGCAAGCGUUAAUCGGAAUUACUGGGCGUAAAGCGUGCGUAGGUGGUUUGUUAAGUCAGGUGUGAAAUCCUUGGGCUCAACCUGAGAAUUGCAUUUGAAACUGGCGAACUCGAGUGUGGUAGAGGGUAGUGGAACUCCCGGUGUAGCGGUGAAAUGCGUAGAUAUCGGGAAGAACACCAGUGGCGAAGGCGGCUACCUGGACCAACACUGACACUGAGGCACGAAAGCGUGGGGAGCAAACAGGAUUAGAUACCCCCGUAGUCC
rnacentral:rRNA from 1 species